rnacentral:rRNA from 1 species
AUUGAACGCUGGCGGCAGGCCUAACACAUGCAAGUCGAACGAGUGGCGGACGGGUGCGUAAUGUCUGGGAAACUGCCUGAUGGAGGGGGAUAACUCCUGGAAACGGUAGCUAAUACCGCAUACCCUCGGAUGUGCCCAGAUGUGAUUAGCUAGUAGUUGGGGUAAAGGCUCACCUAGGCGACGAUACCUAGCUGGUCUGAGCGGAUGACCAGCCACACUGGAACUGAGACACGGUCCAGACUCCUACGGGAGGCAGCAGUGGGGAAUAUUGCACAAUGGGCGCAAGCCUGAUGCAGCCAUGCCGCGUGUAUGAAGAAGGCCUUCGGGUUGUAAAGUACUUUCAGCGGGGAGGCGUUACCCGCAGAAGAAGCACCGGCUAACUCCGUGCCAGCCGCCGCGGUAAUAC